rnacentral:ncRNA from 1 species
CAACAUGCGAAGAAUGGAAGUAGUAUGCACACAUCCUCAUACAGAGACGGGACCCUUGGCUGAAAGGUCCCCCGACAGGAUAGGGCAGAAGUCGUCCAUGAGCAGAUCCUUUGAAUGACCUUAGUAGAAGGAAUACGUUAACUUACGUUACAGUUGCUAAGAGUAUGAACAAUUCUUGUUCAUAAAUAAAGGUGGUACCGCGAGCCCUUCGUCCUUUUC